GAGAAAGAAAUGCAAGAACUGCUAAUUCAUGUCUCCAUGUAUAAUAACAUGGCUUUCUUA
rnacentral:tRNA from 1 species